rnacentral:lncRNA from 1 species
ACAUAUAAACAUCUGUAUACAUGUAUGUGUGUACAUUUUCUUUGUGAUUCAUAUAAAAAAAGAAAAUAAAUAAAGUAAAAAAUUAACAUAAAACUAAAUAUAAGAUAUCUUAAAAUACACAAGGAUGGCAAAAUAUAAAAGUGACAAAAAAAAAGAUGAAAUAAAGGAACUGUAUAGUAAGAAAGACGUGGACAUUACUACUGAUAGUCAUAAUAGUAAUAUAAGUGAUAGUACUAAUAGAGCAAAGAAUAAUAAACAUUGUAAAACAAUUAAACACAAUUAUAAUUCCAAUACAACAUUUAAUACUACUGUAAAUAAAAAAAAUAAAACAUCAAUGAAAGAUUGUAAGAUAAAAAAAAAAGAAAUAAAAAAAGACACCGAGUAUGAUUGUUAUAUUGUAAAUGACAAAAAGUGUAAUGAUAAAAAUUGUAAUGACAAGAACUAUGCAUUAAGUAACGCAUCGUCUUGUACUUUAUCCGUCGAAGAGUAUAACGAAGAGUCGUGUGUUCAAAAUAUUGAUGCCGUACAAAGUGAGACAUAUAUUGAUAACAUAGAUCAACUAAACCAAGAAGAAGAAAAACAUUUUUGUAAUGUUUGUUUUUCUUUUUUAUAUUAUAAAAAAUAUUGUUUUUAUGAAAUGUUAAGAAUAUAUCAAAGUUUCAGUUUAUUGAAUGAAGAAGAAAAAAAAUUAUUAACUGAAUCUAUAUAUUGUAAAGCUUAUAAAAUGUAUUUAUCUAUUUUAAACAAUUAUUAUUUUAUACUUAAUAUUUUAUUACCUCAAAUAUCAACACAUAUAAUAAUACAUUUGUUAACAUUUACUUUUCAUAAAAAUGAUGAAGUAGAACAAUAUUGUCCUAACCAUGAUGACAAUAUACAGGAAGAUGUUGAUCAUUAUAGUAAUAACAAAAAUGUAGGUGAUUUGUUGGAUAAAAAUAAUAAAAAUUAUAAAGAUUGUGAUAGGGGUAGUAACAAUAAUAACAACAAUUGUAACAAUAAUAAAAAAAUAUCAAAAGAAGAAAGUAUAGUUAAUGAAAUAAUUAAAAACUUAACACCACAAGAAAUAGAAAGUAUAGAUAAACAAUAUAAUUAUUAUAAUCUAAAUGUAAAAUUAUUAUGUAAAGAUGAUCCUUUAAUAAUAUUAAAUGAAAUAAAAUCAAAAAUUUUGAAUACAAGAAAUGAUAUUGAUAUAUAUAAGAUGAAUGAAUUGGAUUCAAAUUCAAAUUUUUUGUCUUCCGAUGAUGUUUAUGAAAGUAUUAAAAGUGAUAGUCUAGAGUCUACUGAAAAGAAGAAGUAUAUAGGACAAAAUAAGGAACUUAUAGAAGAACAAAAUAAGGAACUUAUAGACGAACAAAAUAAGAAACAUAUGGACGAACAAAAUAAGGAACUUAUAGACGAACAAAAUAAGAAACAUAUAGACGAACAAAAUAAGGAACUUAUAGACGGACAAAAUAAAAAACACAAAGAAGAUAUUCUUGAUAAUUUUCAUCGUACUAAUGUUAAACAUAAAAAAGAUAAAAAAUCUAACGGAUUGAAACGCACCAAAUACAAACCAGCCGAAAGUAAAACAAACGAUGAAGAAACAAAUGAUAAAAAGAAAAAUGAUCAAAAGAAAAAAGAUAAAAAGAAAAAAGAUAAAAAAACAAACAAUGAAAAAAAAAAUGAUGAAAAAACAAAUGAUGAAAAAACAAACGAUGAAAAAACAAACGAUGAAAAAACAAACGAUGAAAAAACAAACGAGAGUAAACAAAAGAGAGAAGACAAAACGAUAAAUGUUAAAGAAGAAACGUAUGAACACAUUAAUAAAAACAUACAAAAGAAAGAACAUAAUAGAAAAGUAAAGUUAUGUAACAUAUUUGAUAAUGCGAACAAAGAACAAACAAAAGAACAUUAUAAAGAAAAAAGUGAUACUAAUAAAGUAACAGAGAUGCAAAAUUUACCUAAACAUGAUAAUGAUGACAAGCAGAUUGGUUUUAUUAGCAGCCAUAACAGUGACUUUAACAAAAAUAAUAUUAACGACAACUUCGAUGACAACUUCGAUGACAACUGCAAUGACAACUUCGAUGACAACUGCAAUGACAACUGCAAUAACAAUAAUAACAAUAACAAUAAUAAUAGUGACAAUAAUAAUA